rnacentral:rRNA from 1 species
UAGCGUAGGGGGCUAGCGUUGUCCGGAAUCAUUGGGCGUAAAGCGCGUGUAGGCGGUUCGGUAAGUCCGCUGUGAAAGUCGGGGGCUCAACCCUCGGAUGCCGGUGGAUACUGUCGGACUAGAGUACGGAAGAGGCGAGUGGAAUUCCUGGUGUAGCGGUGAAAUGCGCAGAUAUCAGGAGGAACACCGAUUGCGAAGCAGCUCGCUGGGACGUUACUGACGCUGAGACGCGAAAGCGUGGGGAGCAAACAGG